rnacentral:tRNA from 1 species
GGAGACAGGCUGUGGCUCAGUGGAAGAGUUCCUGCUUUGUAUGCAGAAGGUCCUGGGUUCAGUCUCUGGCAUCUCCA